AGAAAAAAUGUGUUUCUGUGACUCAUUGAUUUACUACUGGGAAAUUUGACUGAUUGAACCAAUUGAUGUCUACCUGCAACUGUUUCUUCUGUGUGAACCUGUCUGUUAUAAAUGGAGCAGAAGAUAUAUAGAAUAUAUAUAUAGCCAUCAUUUAGUUUACUAUCUGCAGUGUUUUCUUAAAAUUGCUCUUUUUCUUCUAUUUAUUUUUACCCUUAAAUAAAUUUCUAUCCUUUUAGUUACUCAAAGAUUGUGUUGAAAACUAUUUGAUUCACCUUUUCUGUCAAAUUGCACUUGGGGAAAAAAAAAGAAUGCAUUGAACAUAAAUGGGCUUUAAGUUUGUCAUUUAUUCAAAUCUAUAGUUCAGAUUUUUUCAGUGCUCCCUAGCUUUACUUAUUUUUAGUUUUGCCCUGUUAAUCUGCAUCUAUUUAUAGUUUAAAAUAUAUAUUUGCCAAAUUACUAUUAUACCAUAUAUAUAU